rnacentral:misc_RNA from 1 species
UCCAGCCCAUGAUCCUGUAUGUCCUGAAAUUACAAACAAUUUGACACUCAUACCACGUUAUUUUAAAGAAAUUAGAUAGAAAAACACAUGAGGUUGACUCAGUGACAUGGCCAAAUUUUUGGCAAUUAAUGAAAAGAACUUCCGGUUAGAAACCAUGUCAACAUUAAAACAAGAAUGAGAAUGCAACAAUUACUAGAUCACACAUUAUAUCAACACCAAGAAUCACAAUUAUACAAGUAUUACUAUAUUUGCACAAGUUAAUGGCAUUCUACAAACUUCAUUAAGAUUUAGAAAACAUUACAUAAAAGAAAUAUCAACUUAGAUCCAAAAUUUUAAGAAUAUCAACUUAGAUCCAAAAUUUUAAG